rnacentral:rRNA from 1 species
CGGGUGAGUAACACGUUGAUAACCUACCUAUAAGACUGGGAUAACUUCGGGAAACCGGAGCUAAUACCGGAUAAUAUAUUGAACCGCAUGGUUCAAAAGUGAAAGACGGUCUUGCUGUCACUUAUAGAUGGAUCCGCGCUGCAUUAGCUAGUUGGUAAGGUAACGGCUUACCAAGGCAACGAUGCAUAGCCGACCUGAGAGGGUGAUCGGCCACACUGGAACUGAGACACGGUCCAG